ensembl:lncRNA
CUUUCUUGAAAAUACAAAACCAAAACAUUACAAAACAGUAACUGAGGUGGCUUAGGCAACAUAGACGAGCGACUUGAAGACAAUUACACAUCGGUAAGUAAUGGUGGAGCCUUGAGGUAACUAGCAAACAAUGGCAAUGUUUUGGCAUCCUUAAAACAGAGCAUUUCAAUUAAAGGAUUGAAAUGUGUCUUCCAGUAGUGCUAACAAAAUUACAAAUCAAUUUAAUUGAUCAAAAUAAAUCCAUCAAAAAAAGUUUCAAACCUGUUAAAACGUCUCAGGUUAGCAGUUAUUCUGAAGUCUGUAGUGCCUGGUGUUGUUAAACUCAAACUAAUGACAGAAAGGAAUCUGUUGAAAUGUUCCAGUAUGAUACAUACAUUACAGCUGUAUGUACAAUGUACACUGUUGGCUUCAGUUUAUGCUUUCAGCAAAAUGAAUCUUAUACAAACACACUCGCAUGCAUACAAAUUCUCUCGCUCAGUCACUCACUGUCAGUGAAACAGUCCAAAUGGUUUGAACUACCCUCCAUUAAUGAAAUGUCCUUGGUUAUCUGUGAUGGUGGAAUAGAUAAAAUGUCAUGAUAGAUUUGUUGUAUUUAGCUGUAGUGCUUUAAUGACUCUCAGGUCAAUGACAAUGUAACACAAGGAAAAGAAAAUAAGCAAUGUAAAACUGUUGGGACUCAGUAUGGGUUCACAACAUCUUUCAUGGGCAAAGAAAUUGAAGAAUGAUUUAGUGUUGGAAUGGAUAUCAGACAUCUUGUCACAAGAGGCACAAAACUCAAAAUCGCCGCCUUCCCCAAAAUACAAAAAUUGCUGACAGACAAAUGCUGACACAGCAUCACCCAAAGAAAUAAUAGCAUUCUAGUCACCAAAAACAAGCAAUGAAAACUAACCUUUGUUCAGCACUGCUUUGUGUGUUAAAAUUAAGUUACUUCUUGGUAUGAAAUAAACAUUUUACUUUUAAUGUUUGACAUUAAGACAUGGCAUUGGUGAUUCAAAGUAAUUUUUUAGUUCCUUUGGAUUUUUGCUUCUUGAUGACUUCGCAUCAGUCAAGGGCAAAUAUAAUGCUAUAUAUACACACACAUGCAUUCAACUUGAUAGAUACCAAAAUAAAAACAAAUUCAAACUCCCUUUUCACCACUUAUUAGUUAGCUAUAAAAAUUGCAAGACAGUCCACCGUCACGUUUGCGUGGAGACUGCCAUCAGACUUAAGAUAUGCAGCAGUGAGUAAAGAAUUCUGGGAUAGCAUUAUUCCAAACAGGAAGUCAGGAGUGGGAAGAUUCUCCUCAUCCUGUUCUGAGCAGACCUGUUUUGUAGUUGGGCUUCAGAUUCACAUUAUGCUUGGAAGGAAGAACAGCUGGUAGGAGAUACUGGCGUUCUCAUCACCAGCUGUAGAAUACUGGAUUGGAGUGUGAAUGCAUAUCUACAGUCUUACACCUGAAGAAAGAAACAGACAAAACACUGACUAAA